rnacentral:rRNA from 1 species
GUGCCAGCAGCCGCGGUAACACGUAGGGCGCAAGCGUUGUCCGGAUUUAUUGGGCGUAAAGCGCGCGUAGGCGGCUCGGAAAGUCGAAUGUGAAAAUCCGGGGCUUAACCCCGGACCUGCAUCCGAUACUCUCGGGCUAGAGGCAGACAGGGGAGAGCGGAAUUCCUGGUGUAGCGGUGAAAUGCGCAGAUAUCAGGAGGAACACCGGUGGCGAAGGCGGCUCUCUGGGUCUGUCCUGACGCUCAGGCGCGAAAGCUAGGGGAGCAAACAGGAUUAGAAACCCGCGUAGUCC